rnacentral:rRNA from 1 species
GAUGAACGCUAGCGGGAGGCUUAACACAUGCAAGUCGAGGGGCAGCAUAGGGUAGCAAUACUCUGAUGGCGACCGGCAAACGGGUGAGUAACGCGUAUGUAACCUACCCUGUACAGGGGGAUAACCCGGAGAAAUUCGGACUAAUAUCCCAUAACAAUAUCCGGGGGCAUCUUUGGAUAUUUAAAGUUCCGGCGGUACGGGAUGGGCAUGCGUAACAUUAGCUAGUUGGUAAGGUAACGGCUUACCAAGGCUUUGAUGUUUAGGGGUCCUGAGAGGGUGGUCCCCCACACUGGUACUGAGACACGGACCAGACUCCUACGGGAGGCAGCAGUGAGGAAUAUUGGUCAAUGGGCGCAAGCCUGAACCAGCCAUCCCGCGUGCAGGAAGACGGCGCUAUGCGUUGUAAACUGCUUUUCCAGGGAGAGAAACUUGCGCACGUGUUGCGCAAUUGACGGUACCCUGGGAAUAAGCAUCGGCUAACUCCGUGCCAGCAGCCGACGGUAAACUGUAGUCGUCU